UACGAAGGGGGCUAGCGUUGUUCGGAAUUACUGGGCGUAAAGCGUGUGUAGGCGGAUCGUUAAGUCGGGGGUGAAAUCCCGAGGCUCAACCUCGGAACUGCCUUCGAUACUGGCGAUCUUCGAGUCCGGGAGAGGUGAGUGGAACUCCGAGUGUAGAGGUGAAAUUCGUAGAUAUUCGGAAGAACACCAGUGGCGAAGGCGACUCACUGGACAUGUAUUGACGCUGAGGUGCGAAAGCGUGGGGAGCAAACAGG
rnacentral:rRNA from 1 species